rnacentral:rRNA from 1 species
AGACGGGGGGGGCGAGCGUUGUUCGGAAUUACUGGGCGUAAAGAGAGCGUAGGCGGUUGGUUAAGUCAGGUGUGAAAGCCUUAUCGCUUAACGAAAGGUUGUCACUUGAAACUGGCCGACUGGAGCAGGGUAGAGGCAAGCGGAAUUCCUGGUGUAGCGGUGGAAUGUGUAGAUAUCAGGAAGAACAUCGGUGGCGAAGGCGGCUUGCUGGGCCCUCGCUGACGCUGAGGCUCGAAAGCGUGGGGAGCGAACGGGAUUAGAAACCCCAGUAGUCC